UACGAAGGGUGCUAGCGUUGUUCGGAAUCACUGGGCGUAAAGCGCGCGUAGGCGGCUUUCCAAGUCAGGGGUGAAAUCCUGAGGCUUAACCUCAGAAUUGCCCUUGAAACUGUUAAGCUAGAGUGUCGGAGGGGAUAGCGGAAUUGCUAAUGUAGAGGUGAAAUUCGUAGAUAUUAGCAGGAACACCGGUGGCGAAGGCGGCUAUCUGGACGACAACUGACGCUGAGGCGCGAAAGCGCGGGGAUCAAAC
rnacentral:rRNA from 1 species